rnacentral:rRNA from 1 species
CACUCCUGCGGGAGGCAGCAGUGGGGAAUAUCGCACAAUGGGCGCAAGCCUGAUGCAGCCAUGCCGCGUGUAUGAAGAAGGCCUUCGGGUUGUAAAGUACUUUCAGCGGGGAGGAAGGCGAUAAGGUUAAUAACCUUGUCGAUUGACGUUACCCGCAGAAGAAGCACCGGCUAACUCCGUGCCAGCAGCCGCGGUAAUACGGAGGGUGCAAGCGUUAAUCGGAAUUACUGGGCGUAAAGCGCACGCAGGCGGUCUGUCAAGUCGGAUGUGAAAUCCCCGGGCUCAACCUGGGAACUGCAUUCGAAACUGGCAGGCUAGAGUCUUGUAGAGGGGGGUAGAAUUCCAGGUGUAGCGGUGAAAUGCGUAGAGAUCUGGAGGAAUACCGGUGGCGAAGGCGGCCCCCUGGACAAAGACUGACGCUCAGGUGCGAAAGCGUGGGGAGCAAACAGGAUUAGAAACCCCGGUAGUCCC